rnacentral:lncRNA from 1 species
UUCUUUAUAAGUUAAAUGAAGUAUUUGCCGUUUAAACUGUUAAAAGUUAGCUUAUCAAUUAAAAAUAGUCAAUGCUCAAAUGACAUGAUUUCAAGAUGAAAUCUAUAAAUUCUGCUUAAUUUUGUUUGGUUGAUAAACAUAAUAACGUUGGUGCGUCUGUGGCGGCAUUGUAACGCAACAAUGUCUUGUGGCGUUUCUGAGGUCAUUUAUUCAUUAUUUCGGCGGUAUCAAUUAAGAGAAUCCACAAAAAUAAAUAAAUAAACUCAUUUUGGUUAUCGUAAAUUCUUACGUUUGCUUCUGGUUGGACAUGUGCACAUUCAUACUUUACGAUUUACUACUACAGGUUUCUUCGGUGUUACAGUCAGAUGACUGUGUGUGUGUGUUUGUUUAAUUUUUUUUUAUUUAUUUAUUUUUUUGUCUUUCUUUUUGACAAAAUUUAUAAAUUUAUUGCAUUUGAACAGUGAGUAAAUGAUUUUAAGUUCAUGAUAAAAUGUGAUAAUUUCAGGUAUGUCGGUUCAUAAAGACGCCUGAUGUCGAGACGGUGAAGGCACGUCUACAAGAUAAUGUGGUAUAAACAGAUGGUAAACGUAAUUUCCGGACACAGAUGCGACUUGCAAGGGUCAAAAUCUUUAAAUUAUGAUCUCUAUGUGCAUGCGAAUAUCUUCAGCCGACUUGUGAAAUGUCCAAACAGCUCCAGCUGCUACCUAAGAUGAUAACACGGACGAUAAAGGAAUGAAGGGUAUGUCUGCUUCACUACGAUUGACAAAACUUGCACAUCUACUUUCAAGUUGGUGAAAGCACGACUUCAAGAUGUAAGCUGAAAAAGAAGAUGGUAAUUUCCGGCCACAAGUGUCAAAAUCUUAAAAUUAGGGUCGAAGAGAAAUAUACGUCUCCUUGCGGUAAACCAGAAUACAGCACGGCAUUUUGCUUCAAAUACGUGUUAUUCAAAAGACAACAACAGUUUAAAGCCAAAGGAACCCAAUCUAACAAAUUGUGUCAGUCGUUGGACAUUCAAAAUCAUGAUCUGAUAUAUCGUUUGGAAAUUCUCCCCUUUGCUGAUGAAAUACCAUCUAUCAUUUAAUGGAUAUUUAACUAGAAUAGAACGGAACAGAACAGAACAGAACGGACCAGAACAGAACUCUCAGUCAGCAUUUACAUCUCUGUAAACGGCAUCGAUAUUGCCAUUUAAUUUAUCAUAUAUUUAUCGAUUUAUAACUGGUAUUCUGCGGACUCCGUAAAAAUUUUGAUACAUUGACAUUUUCUUGACAAAAUAUUGAUAAAUCAGUUGAUAGACCGAUAUCGAAGUUGGAUUUUGCUGUUAUCCGAAUUCAGAAAGCAGCAUAAUACAAUAAGUACAAUGAUUAUCAAGAUUUAUAAAAAAUGUUUCACCUAGAGUUAUUUUGACAUAGGAAUUUCUACACGUCUGACAAACCGGAAGUAAAGGCAUGACGUCAUUUAACCGGAAAUAUAACACAAAACCUGGACUCAGCAUAUGGAUUCUCCUUUUCGUUUGCCUAAUUUUCUUAAAAUAUCUAUGGGUUUGAAAACUUAAGAUUUUCUCAAUUCGAGCAAACAACAACAACAACUACAAAACCACCAUAAUGUAAAUUCUGUAUGUUUUGUGCAAAUUUGUCAAGAGGAUACAUGUAUAUAAAUGUGUACAUGAUAUUUUAAAUUAAUUGUCAAGAAUAUUAUUUACAUUUGUCAUAUAAUAGAUGAAUCUAAUAUAAUGAAGUUAUACAUA